AAGGGAAAACAUUUAGGGAGGGAGAGAGACUGACGACGAAGAACGCGAGAGGGUGAGCGAGAGAGAGAUCGACGAACGCAGAGUGGAAGGGUAAGAGAUCGAGACUGAAGACGGGCGAUUGCAAGCUAUGAACCCUAAUUUGAGAGUUUGAGUGCGCCGACGAGGGGAGAGCGUGCAAGUUUAUUUGGCUGAGCUGAUUAAUUGAGUGCCCUAAAACACCAAUUUCUAUCGUUUUUCCACUUGACGAUAAUUUCAGGCUCCGGCGAAAGAGAGACGCCGAUGGGCUUUAUCAGAAGUAGCUUCUCCUUUAUAGUGGGAACGGUGUUUGGCAUUUACGUGGCUCAAAAUUACAGUGUUCCCAACAUCAGGAAGCUCGCCAAUACUGGGAUUCUGAUGGCCCAACACAUCGAAGAGAACUACAGGAAGCCAAAGAAGCGGGAGGACGAUGAUUGAAUGGAAGAUUUACGAGCCAGGUAAAUCACAACCUUGAUUCGCCAGCUAAUUUAUGCAGUUGUGAUAUCUUUAGCCAAGUGGAGGUUCUUCAAAGACUCCAGAAAGUUUGAAACUUGACCCACGGGCUGGAUCUUAUGCCCAUUACUAUGCUAUGGUUUUCUAUAUGCUGUUGGUUUCACUGGCUUCAUUUUGACUAUACCCAUUGUCCAUCCCCAACGCCUCUAUCUCAUGAUCAUGUAAUGGUGAAAAUUCCAACCGAUCGAGAGUAGUAAUAUCUUGUCGAGAGACAAUAACCAAACGCAGAUGUUCUACUAAUACAUGAA